GGACAUGCUAAUGUGCGCGGCCGGGGGCGGGGCCUCGGGCCGGGCACCGGCUGAGGCUGCAGCCAGUUCAGCUCCGGCUCUGCUCCUUCGGACGUGCUGGGCUCCGGCGGGCGGGGGCGGCUCCCUGCUGCCCGUGAGCGGCGGCGGCGGCAGACCUGGUCCAAUUCAGUGCACUCUCCUUCGGAAAUGAUGGGCGUCCCCGGGUCCAGCUGGAAUUCUGCCAGGCUCCAGUGCUGGGUGUGAGAGGAAGGCAUCCUUUCCAGCCCUGGCAUCUCUGCUCAUCAUGGCCCCGCUCAGUUGCUGCCCAUUUGCCUGGGGACCCAGAGGGCCCAGCUUCAGCCCUGGGAAGUCCCAUCAGGCAGCUUGGCAUCGCCCCUCAGAGGCCUCCCGGGUGCUGUGCUCCUCAUGGGGCAAGAGCCGUUGAUGGCCUCAGCAUGGGAGAGCCCCCUGCCUGCAUACCCACCUGCCUGGCACUGCCCACUCUGAGGCCUGUGAACUGGGUCGAUCUGGAGGUGCCAACCCUGUGAACCCAUUCCCCACCCCUAGGGAUCCCUGCCCAUCCCCAACCAUGUGUGAAGUAAUGCCCACCAUCAAUGAGGGGGACCCCCUUGGCCCCCCCCAUGGUGCCGAUGCUGACGCCAACUUUGAGCAGCUCAUGGUGAACAUGUUGGAUGAGCGGGAAAAGCUGCUGGAAUCAUUGCGGGAGAGUCAGGAGACCCUGGUGGCCACUCAGAGCCGACUCCAAGAUGCUUUGCACGAACGGGACCAGCUUCAGCGCCACCUCAACUCCGCCCUUCCCCAGGAGUUUGCCACAUUAACCCGGGAGCUGAGUGUGUGUCGGGAGCAGCUUCUGGAACGGGAGGAGGAGAUCUCAGAGCUGAAAGCUGAACGGAAUAACACGAGGCUGCUACUGGAACAUCUGGAGUGCCUUGUGUCCCGUCACGAGCGAUCCCUUCGCAUGACAGUAGUGAAGCGCCAGGCUCAGUCUCCCUCCGGUGUCUCCAGUGAGGUGGAAGUGCUCAAGGCCCUCAAGUCUCUAUUUGAGCAUCACAAGGCACUGGAUGAGAAGGUUCGGGAGAGGCUGCGGGCAGCGCUGGAACGCGUCAGCACCUUGGAGGAGCAGCUGGCAGGUGCUCACCAGCAGGUAUCUGUUCUACAGCAGGGAGCAGGGCCCCGCGAUGGAGCUUCAGGAGAAGACGGGGCCCUGGAGUUGGGACCAAGACUCUUAUGGAAGGAUGAAGCAGGCCGGGCGGGAGAGCUGCAGGAACGCCUGGAGAAGCAGACCUUUGAGCUGAACCAGGCCCGAGAGCGCCUGGUGGCCUUGGCUGGCACGGUGGCUGAGCUAGAGGAGGAUUUGAGCACUGCCCGCAGGGACCUCAUCAAGUCGGAGGAGCUGAGCAGCAGGCAUCAGCGGGACCUCCGAGAGGCUUUGGCGCAGAAGGAUGACAUGGAAGAGAGAAUCACCACGCUGGAGAAGCGCUACUUGGCAGCCCAGCGUGAAGCUACAUCCAUCCAUGACCUCAAUGACAAGCUGGAGAAUGAACUGGCCAAUAAGGAGUCCUUGCAUCGCCAGUGUGAGGAGAAGGCCCGACACCUGCAAGAGCUCCUGGAGCUGGCUGAGCAGAAGCUACAGCAGACAAUGCGCAAGGCUGAGACCCUGCCCGAGGUCGAGGCCGAGCUGGCUCAGAGAAUCGCUGCCCUCACCAAGGCUGAAGAGCGGCACGGCAACAUUGAGGAGCACCUUCGGCAGCUGGAGGCCCAGCUGGAAGAGAAGAACCAGGAGCUGGCCAGGGUACGCCAACGGGAAAAGAUGAAUGAAGACCACAAUAAGCGUCUCUCAGACACCGUAGACCGGCUGCUGAGUGAGUCCAAUGAACGGCUUCAGCUGCACCUUAAGGAACGGAUGGCUGCUCUGGAGGAGAAGAACACACUCAUCCAGGAGCUGGAGAGCUCCCAGAGGCAGAUUGAGGAGCAGCACCAUCACAAGGGCCGCCUUUCAGAAGAGAUUGAGAAGCUGCGCCUGGAGGUGGACCAGCUGAAGGGUCGAGGGGGGCCAUCUGCGGAUGGCGUCCAUUCCAGGUCCCACAUGGGCAGUGCUGUGGACCUUCGGUUCUCUAUGAGUGCCGGAGCCCACGCUCCCCCUGGUCCUACCCCCAGCCUUCACCGCAGGUUUUCUGCCCUUCGAGAGGAGCCCACCAAGGACUGGGAACCCUCGGCACUCCCCGGGCUGCUGGCUUCCACGGCCGUCCCCGCCUUUGACAGCGAUCCCGAGAUCUCCGAUGUGGACGAGGAGGUGCCCGAAGGGCCGACAGGCUCUGUGGGUGUCACCUCUCCCAGCGGCCCCUCAGAUGCUCAGACGUUGGCCGCGAUGCUUCAGGAACAGCUGGAUGCCAUCAAUGAGGAGAUCAGGAUGAUCCAGGAAGAGAAGGAGUCAACGGAGCUACGAGCGGAAGAGAUCGAGACACGGGUAACCAGUGGCAGCAUGGAAGCGCUGAACCUCACCCAGCUGCGCAAACGCAGCUCAAUCCCCACCUCGCUGACUGCCCUGUCUCUGGCCAGUGCUUCUCCACCCCUCAGUGGCCGCUCCACACCCAAACUCACCUCCCGCAGUGCCGCCCAGGACCUGGACCGAAUGGGUGUCAUGACCUUGCCGAGUGACUUGAGGAAGCACAGGAGGAAGUUGAUGUCACCAGUGGCUCGGGAAGAGAACCGAGAAGAUAAAACCACCAUAAAAUGUGAGACUUCUCCUCCUUCCUCACCCAGGACUUUGCGGUUAGAGAAGCUUGGCCAUCCGGCCCUGAGCCAGGAUGAAGGCAAAAGUUCUUUGGACGACCAAGGCAGUAACCCCAGCAGCAGCAACAGCAGCCAGGACUCCCUGCACAAGGGCACCAAACGCAAGGGCAUCAAGUCAUCCAUUGGUCGACUCUUUGGGAAGAAAGAGAAGGGCAGACUGAUCCAGCUGAGCCGAGAAGGAGCCACGGGCCACGUCAUACUGUCAGAGUCUGAGCUCAAUCUGCAGGAGCCCCUGGUGCCCGCCAAGCUGGGAACCCAGGCCGAGAAGGACCGGCGCUUGAGAAAGAAACACCAGCUUCUCGAGGAUGCGCGCCGGAAGGGAAUGCCUUUUGCCCACUGGGACGGCCCCACUGUGGUCUCAUGGCUGGAGCUGUGGGUGGGCAUGCCAGCCUGGUACGUGGCCGCCUGCCGAGCCAACGUCAAGAGUGGCGCCAUCAUGUCAGCUCUCUCAGACACGGAGAUCCAGCGGGAGAUUGGCAUCAGCAACGCCCUGCACCGGCUCAAGCUCCGGCUGGCCAUCCAGGAGAUGGUGUCGCUGACCAGUCCUUCAGCCCCACCCACCUCCAGGACGUCUUCUGGGAAUGUCUGGGUCACCCAUGAGGAGAUGGAGACGCUGGCAACAUCCACAAAAACAGACAGUGAGGAGGGCAGUUGGGCUCAGACCCUGGCCUACGGGGACAUGAACCACGAGUGGAUUGGGAACGAGUGGCUCCCCAGCCUGGGGCUCCCCCAGUACCGCAGCUACUUCAUGGAGUGCUUGGUGGAUGCUCGCAUGCUGGAUCACCUCACCAAGAAGGACCUUCGAGUCCAUCUGAAGAUGGUGGACAGCUUCCAUCGGAGCAGCCUGCAGUACGGCAUCAUGUGCUUGAAGAGGCUCAAUUACGACCGAAAGGAACUGGAGAAGAGACGGGAGGAGAGCCAGCGGGAGAUAAAGGAUGUGCUGGUCUGGACCAACGACCAGGUGAUACACUGGAUCCAGUCCAUUGGGCUGAGGGACUAUGCCGGCAACCUUCAUGAGAGCGGUGUGCACGGGGCCCUCCUUGCUCUGGACGAGAAUUUUGACCACAACACCUUGGCCCUGGUCUUACAGAUCCCCACACAGAACACCCAGGCCCGCCAAGUGAUGGAAAGGGAGUUUAACAACCUCUUGGCCUUGGGUACGGAUCGGAAGCUGGAUGAUGGUGAGGACAAGGUGUUCCGCCGUGCCCCAUCCUGGAGGAAACGCUUCCGUCCACGGGACCCCCACGGAGGGAUGCUCAGCACCUCAGCCGAGACCCUCCCCACCAGCUUCCGAGUCUCCACCCUGGGGCCCUUGCAGCCCCCACCGGCUCCGCCAAAGAAGAUGCUGCCAGAAGCUGGGACAUCAGGGUCACAGAGACUGGAGACCUCCACGGUUCGGACCUACUCCUGCUGAACUCCCCCCUACCUUCCCUACCCCGGGUCUGACGGGGGGUGUGCCCGUGGCUCGGGUUCAUUCCCACUAUCUCUACGGACACAUGCUCUCCGCCUUCCGGGACUAGCCACGGCCCCAGCCGGCUCCCUCCUUGGCCUCAGGGGCCUGGCCGGCUCUAUCCCUUCCUGCUUGUUCCCUUUCCAGUAGCUCCCAGUCUUGUCUGUGACUUUCCAGUUGCCCCUGGAUCUCAGCAUAUAUUCAUCCUGGAGCCCUGACCCCCGUCCCCUUUGUCCGUGUGUUUCACGAGGCUUUGGUUGGGGCCUCUAUGUGCCAGGCUUGGCCCUGUGGAUUGGUCAUUCUCAGACUGCAGGGGAGAGAAGGCAGCAAGCCCAGGGGGCUCCUUCCCCUUCAUCUUCCGAAUACCUGCCCCAUUCCCCUGGCCCUGGAACCAGGGCCAGGCUGUGGGGUACCCACAGAGUAGUGUGCACUAUGGCUCCCAGGGGGAAGAGAGCUGUGUACUCUGACUGCGCCCAUUUCCUUCCUUCCUUCUGGGCAGGGUCUCCUAGGCCUAGGGAGUGUUUCUACUUAACAACUGAUUUUGACACCUCGAGACAACUUCUACAUUAGCAAUAGUCACAGAAACUGCUCUUGGGACUUCCUGGGGGCUUAAAGGGACCUUGAAACCUUCUGAGAAGGCAGGAGAACAGACAGAGCAAAGGGCUUCCCCUAGGCUUGGGGCACGGGGAGAGGGAAAGAGCAGGACUGUUUCCACCACCAAAAUAGGUUUGGGCUAAGUCUCUCUGGGAUCCAAGCCCCAGGCCCUGGCCAAAGAGAGUUUUCAGAAGAGUGGGUUUGAGAAGCCCACCAGCUUGGGGCUGAUGGGGGGGAGGAGGGCCGAGAAGAGCCGGCACACAGAACUGCAGGCCAGGUGUCCACCAACAAGGAAGCCCCUUUCUUGGGUUAGAUAGCCAGGCAGAUGGGAGGGGAGAGCAGACUGUCUUCCGUUAGCAAUAAGUCACCCGUGGCCGUGGGAGCACUUCCCUCUCUGGCAUUCCCCAGGCUCCAGCCAGCCUGCCGGGUUAAUGGAUUCUCGAAGAAUGUCUGAGAUUCACAUUGGCUCUAAACAUUGGGCUUGGGGAGAGGAGCAGGCGAGGACUCUGCUCCACUUUCCCAUAACUCUUCCCAAGGGAUGGAAGUAGGAAGUGGGGGGCAGGAAAAGAAAGAAGAGAUGAACUUCUCUGAAGACGAUGACUCCCCUUGUACCCUUUGGGGCCCAGAAUCUGACGGACUCCGACUUUCCAAUCCUCUGACUUGCCACAGAUUCCUCUUUCUCUCUGCCCUGAGCCUGCUCUCGGUCCUGGGGGUGUCCCAGGAAGAGGUGUCCCUAGGAAAUCAUCCUCCUCCUAUCCUUUCCCCACCUAGAAGUAUUGCAGGUGCCUAGAGUGUGUCAGUGGCGAGUGGAUGGGGAGGGGAGUUGAAAGGAGGGGCCUAGGAUGGAGUUUUAGAGGAAGGAGUCAGAGAUAAGGACCAGUUUCUUGGGACCUCUACAACCCACUACCCUUCCUGGGUCUCUCUCUGGAAGAGGACUGAAGUUUUAUUGUUCUUCAGGUGGGCAUCCUUAUGGGCCUUGAAGAGCUGGAGUGCUGGUUUGUCUGCUUAACUUGUGACCUGGGCGUGGAGACCAGGCAGACUGAGGUGGCAGAGCUACCUGCCGACCUGGAGGGACGAUGCCCCAGAAGGGGCCCAGAGCAGUGCUAGUGCUCAGCUUGGUCCUGUGUUUGCUUUGUAAUGGAAGGCAGAGGAAUGCCCAACCACUGUCUGCCUGCACCGGCACUUCUGGGGAACGGAUGAGCUGGUUCCUUCAGAGGUUUAAGGGAGUGGGAAAGAAUCUUGUGAUGUCGGUUCUCUUGAAAGGCUUUCACCUGCCCUUUGGGUGUGCUCCCAUGGUGCCUGCUCCCUUCCUACCAGGCUGACGGAGAUGGUGGAGCUGGAAUUUUUAAUCAGGAAAUGAGUUGGAAGACUAGGCUGAGGGAAGAAAUUUGGUUACAAGACCAGACUUUUGGGUCAUCAAGUAUGAGAUGUUAAGAUCCUGGGAUUGGGCAUCUAGGAUCGUGGGGACUGCAGUGCCAUUUGAGUCCUUUAAAGGACUUAAUUGUUUUUCUUUUGUAAACAUCCCGCUAAAUGGAUUGUACUGAAUGAGAGACCAGGCCAACAGCUGCAGCUCUAGCCCCACCUCCCUAGGACCUUAAUGCUGACCUGCCCAGGCUGGCCAGAUCACAGGGCAGAAGCUAGAGAGAUAUAAUCCAUCCUUCCAAGGGCUGUUGGGAAGUAGGGGGACCUGUGUCACACCGUGGCAGUGGGGUGUUGUCUCAGUGUACCUUGCCUAAGGCUCAAUAUGUUCUGUUUUUUUAAUUUGGAGAGUCACUAGUGACCCCAGCCCCCCUCACCAGCCUCCUCUGUCUUGUCAGGUCCUCUUUCCUCAGUACUGUAUCAGAUCACUGCAUCAGGAAUGGGUGUGCAACGCCCCUCUGUGUGUGUGUGUAUGUGUGUGUGUGUAUGUGCGUGUGUGGCAGGGGUGUGUAUGUAACAAUAAACAACCCGGUUUUAAAACAAUGUAUACAUUGCCU